rnacentral:rRNA from 1 species
GAUGAACGCUAGCGGCAGGCCUAAUACAUGCAAGCCGGACGGCAAGUUGAGUAGCAAUACUUGACCUAGAGUGGCGUAAGGGUGCGUAACACGUAUGCAAUCUGCCCACAGCCGGGAGAUAGCCCUCCGAAAGGAGGAUUAAUAUCCCAUAGGAAGAUGAGAUGGCAUCAUUUUAUUUUUAAACUACGGGGCUGUGGAUGAGCAUGCGGUUGAUUAGCUAGUUGGCGGGUAAAGGCCCACCAAGGCGAUGAUCAAUAGGGGACCUGAGAGGGUGAUCCCCCACACUGGCGCUGAGAUACGGGCCAGACUCCUACGGGAGGCAGCAGUAGGGAAUAUUGGACAAUGGGUGUAAGCCUGAUCCAGCCAUGCCGCGUGCAGGAAGAAGGCCUUCUGGGUUGUAAAGCACUUUUGUUCGGGAAGAAAAGCUACCGGUUAAUACCCGGGAGUCAUGACGGUACCGAAAGAAUAAGCACCGGCUAACUUCGUGCCAGCAGCCGCGGUAAUC